rnacentral:rRNA from 1 species
AGAGUUUGAUCCUGGCUUAGGACGAACGCUGGCGGUGUGCCUCAUGCAUGCAAGUCGAACGAUAAGGUCUCUUCGGAGAUACAUAAGUGGCGGACGGGUGAGUACAACAUAGGAAAUCUGCCUUAGGGUGGGGGACAACAGAGGGAAACUCCUGCUAAUACCCCAUAUGAGCUAACUUGAAAUAGUUAUCUUGAAAACUCCGGUGCCCUAAGAUGAGCCUGUGCCUGAUUAGCUGGUUGGUGGUGUAAUGGACUACCAAGGCGACGAUCAGUAGCUGGUUUGAGAGGAUGAUCAGCCACAAUGGGACUGAGACACGGCCCAUACUCCUACGGGAGGCAGCAGUAGGGAAUUUUGCGCAAUGGGGGGAAAAACCCCUGACGCAGCAACACCGCGUGAAUGUUAAGCCCUUCGGGGUGUAAAGUUCUGUCAGUAGGGAAGAACAAAUGACUGUACCUACAAAGGAAGCACCGGCUAACUCCGUGCCAGCCGCGGC